rnacentral:rRNA from 1 species
UACGAAGGGGGCUAGCGUUGUUCGGAAUUACUGGGCGUAAAGCGUGCGCAGGCGGUUUUCCAAGUCAGUGGUGAAAGCCCGGAGCUCAACUCCGGAACUGCCAUUGAAACUGUGAAACUAGAGUACGAGAGAGGUGAGUGGAAUUCCCAGUGUAGAGGUGAAAUUCGUAGAUAUUGGGAAGAACACCGGUGGCGAAGGCGGGUCUCUGGGCCGGUAACUGACGCUGAGGAGCGAAAGCGUGGGGAGCGAACAGG